rnacentral:rRNA from 1 species
UACGUAGGGGGCAAGCGUUAUCCGGAUUUACUGGGUGUAAAGGGAGCGUAGACGGCAGCGCAAGUCUGGAGUGAAAUGCCGGGGCCCAACCCCGGAACUGCUUUGGAAACUGUGCAGCUCGAAUGCAGGAGAGGUAAGCGGAAUUCCUAGUGUAGCGGUGAAAUGCGUAGAUAUUAGGAGGAACACCAGUGGCGAAGGCGGCUUACUGGACUGUAACUGACGUUGAGGCUCGAAAGCGUGGGGAGCAAACAGG